rnacentral:lncRNA from 1 species
UCAGAUUAGUAUUUCAAUCAAAUAAGAUUGCCAAUACAAUAAAAGCCCUAUAAUUGAUAAAAUGCAUAUAAUUCCAAAGGUUUACACAACAUUCCACAUAACCACCUAACAGUUAGAAUGUGUGUGUACAACAAUCUCCAAAACCAUGCAAGUGUGUCGCAAUACAUUUAUUUCCCACAUAUAAAUGUCCAAAAUGGCCACAAAGUCUAUCCUUAACAUGUUUAAGCCAUUUGUGCAUUUUAUCAAGCACUUGAUGUGUUUACCUCUCAAGUCAUGGAUUUGCUAAUUUUUUUGCAUCAAACAUAUUUUUUAAGAGUAAUAAUAUAAAAUCCAAUAAUAAAGAAAUAUAUGUUCUUAUUAAGUUUGGCCAAGUAUAUAUAUUGAGUAAUCAAACCAAACUUGAUUUAAAUAUUCAUUGAAAAUACUAAAAGAAAACAAAAUGGGGCGAUUGCAAAUAUUUUGCAAAUUUAAUUAAUAAAUAUGUGUUCUUAAACCUAGGAGUCAAUUAUUAGUAAUUUAUAAAAGAGAAAAAUUGACCAGGUCUGUAAUGUAGACCAACACCACUACUAUUAUCCAUGUUUAAUGCCGACUAAGUUUCAAAUCCGUGGUCGUUUUCGUCUCCCCCAUACUCCAAAAAUCAUCUCUCGUCAAGCUCUAAAUAACCAAACUAACUGAACUUUUUCGUUCAAAAACAAAAUCCUGUGAGAAAUACCAAGAAAAUAAAAUCAUAUGUUCAUAGAACAUAUGUGCUCAACCAUUUGAACUAAGAUAACAUCAAUAUCAACUUCAUUCAAACGUAAAAUUGAUUAAAUAUAUAUGUGAGAUGUUUGUUUUAUCAUUUGAACAAUGUUAUGCGCGCUAGACGGUGUUUUUGUGAACUUAAUUGAUUUAUCUUGUUUUUCUUAUUUAGAAUUUUUUCAUAAUUUUUUCUAUUUUUUUUGAAGCUCCUAACUAGCUAACGGUCAGCCGAAACCGAUGCCAAUGAUCUUCCGAAACAUAUGUCACUAUCGCGUCUUGAACUAUGCUGGGAAGGGGACAGGAGGGGAACAAAGGAAACUUACCUUAAAUCUUCUAUAUCGCCUGCUAAAUUGUGACUUCUUGAUGAAGGGUAGGCUCGAAUUUAUAACCUUGCACACCAAGUGAAUAUGCCUUUACACCUAGGCUAUCAACUUUGGUCUUCAUAUCACGUGAUUUAAUUAUAUUUAUGUUAGUAGUGGAUUUAGUAGAGUAAUAACAAUGGAUUCCUUACUAAAUUCAUUUAAUCUUCCAAAAUUCAAUUCAGAUUAGUAUUUCAAUCAAAUAAGAUUGCCAAUACAAUAAAAGCCCUAUAAUUGAUAAAAUGCAUAUAAUUCCAAAGGUUUACACAACAUUCCACAUAACCACCUAACAGUUAGAAUGUGUGUGUACAACAAUCUCCAAAACCAUGCAAGUGUGUCGCAAUACAUUUAUUUCCCACAUAUAAAUGUCCAAAAUGGCCACAAAGUCUAUCCUUAACAUGUUUAAGCCAUUUGUGCAUUUUAUCAAGCACUUGAUGUGUUUACCUCUCAAGUCAUGGAUUUGCUAAUUUUUUUUGCAUCAAACAUAUUUUUUAAGAGUAAUAAUAUAAAAUCCAAUAAUAAAGAAAUAUAUGUUCUUAUU